rnacentral:pre_miRNA from 1 species
AAUGCAAUUGUCGGAUUAUAUGGUAAUCAUAUGUUUAGUAUUAUAAGAGACUGCCAAACCAUUUUCCAAAGUGUCUGAACCAUUUUGCACUCCCACUAGUAAU